AGGGACUUAGGAUAAUUUAGACCAAGAGCCUUCAAAGCUUUAAGUAGAAGUUAAAAUCUUCUAGUCCCUG
rnacentral:tRNA from 1 species